rnacentral:rRNA from 1 species
UUAAAUUGAAGAGUUUGAUCAUGGCUCAGAUUGAACGCUGGCGGCAGGCCUAACACAUGCAAGUCGAACGGUAACAGGAAGCAGCUUGCUGCUUCGCUGACGAGUGGCGGACGGGUGAGUAAUGUCUGGGAAACUGCCUGAUGGAGGGGGAUAACUACUGGAAACGGUAGCUAAUACCGCAUAAUGUCGCAAGACCAAAGAGGGGGACCUU